CCUACGGGUGGCAGCAGUGAGGAAUAUUGGUCAAUGGGCGCGAGCCUGAACCAGCCAAGUAGCGUGAAGGAUGACUGCUCUAUGGGUUGUAAACUUCUUUUAUAAGGGAAUAAAGUGCGGCACGUGUUCCUUUUUGUAUGUACCCUAUGAAUAAGCAUCGGCUAACUCCGUGCCAGCAGCCGCGGUAAUACGGAGGAUCCGAGCGUUAUCCGGAUUUAUUGGGUUUAAAGGGUGCGUAGAUGGGUAGUUAAGUCAGUUGUGAAAGUUUGUGGCUCAACCCUAAAAGUGCAGUUGUUACUGGCAGACUUGAGUACAGUUGAGGUAGGCGGAAGGCGUGGUGUAGCGGUGAAAUGCAUAGAUAUCACGAAGAACUCCGAUUGCGAAGGCAGCUUACUAAACUGUCACUGACAUUGAAGCACGAAAGCGUGGGGAUCAAACAGGAUUAGAUACCCCUGUAGUC
rnacentral:rRNA from 1 species